GAUGAACGCUGGCGGCGUGCCUAAUACAUGCAAGUCGAGCGAACGGACGAGAAGCUUGCUUUUCUGAUGUUAGCGGCGGACGGGUGAGUAACACGUGGAUAACCUACCUAUAAGACUGGGAUAACUUCGGGAAACCGGAGCUAAUAUCGGAUAAUAUUUUGAACCGCAUGGUUCAAAAGUGAAAGACGGUCUUGCUGUCACUUAUAGAUGGAUCCGCGCUGCAUUAGCUAGUUGGUAAGGUAACGGCUUACCAAGGCAACGAUGCAUAUCCGACCUGAGAGGGUGAUCGGCCACACUGGAACUGAGACACGGUCCAGACUCCUACGGGAGGCAGCAGUAGGGAAUCUUCCGCAAUGGGCGAAAGCCUGACGGAGCAACGCCGCGUGAGUGAUGAAGGUCUUCGGAUCGUAAAACUCUGUUAUUAGGGAAGAACAUAUGUGUAAGUAACUGUGCACAUCUUGACGGUACCUAAUCAGAAAGCCACGGCUAACUACGUG
rnacentral:rRNA from 1 species